UUCCCACUCCGGGAAUCGAACCAUGGCCUUCUGGGUGACAGCCAGAUAUCCUAGCCACUAGACCACGUGGGA
rnacentral:tRNA from 1 species